rnacentral:rRNA from 1 species
UACGUAGGGCGCAAGCGUUAUCCGGAAUUAUUGGGCGUAAAGAGCUCGUAGGCGGUUUGUCGCGUCUGCCGUGAAAGUCCGGGGCUCAACUCCGGAUCUGCGGUGGGUACGGGUAGACUAGAGUGAUGUAGGGGAGACUGGAAUUCCUGGUGUAGCGGUGAAAUGCGCAGAUAUCAGGAGGAACACCGAUGGCGAAGGCAGAUCUCUGGGCCGUAACUGACGCUGAGGAGCGAAAGCGUGGGGAGCGAACAGG